AGGAUAAACGCUGGCGGCGUGCUUCAGGCAUGCAAGUCGAACGGACCUUCGGGUCAGUGGCGGACGGGUGAGUAACACGUAAGUAACCUGCCCAGAAGUGGGGAAUAACUAGCCGAAAGGUUGGCUAAUACCGCAUGUGAUGGUCGGUCCUUGGACUGGUCAUGAAAGAUUUAUCGCUUCUGGAGGGCUUGCGGUCGAUUAGCUAGUUGGUGGGGUAAUGGCCUACCAAGGCGACGAUCGAUAGCUGGUCUGAGAGGACGGUCAGCCACACGGGGACUGAGAUACGGCCCCGACUCCUACGGGAGGCAGCAGCUAGGAAUCUUGGGAAUGGGCGAAAGCCUGACCCAGCAACGCCGCGUGGGCGAUGAAGGCCUUCGGGUCGUAAAGCCCUUUUGUAGGGGAAGAUUAUGACGGUACCCUGCGAAUAAGCCACGGCUAACUACGCGCCAGCAGCCGC
rnacentral:rRNA from 1 species